ACCGGAUUAGCUGAGAGGUGGUGCAUGGCCGUCGUCAGUUCGUACUGUGAAGCAUCCUGUUAAGUCAGGCAACGAGCGAGACCCACGUCCACAGUUGCCAGCAUACCCUCCGGGGUGAUGGGUACACUGUGGAGACCGCCGCUGCUAAAGCGGAGGAAGGAAUGGGCAACGGUAGGUCAGUAUGCCCCGAAUCUCCCGGGCUACACGCGGGCUACAAUGGUUGGUACAAUGGGCAUCUACCCCGAAAGGGGAAGGAAAUCUCUUAAAGCCAAUCGUAGUUCGGAUUGAGGGCUGCAACUCGCCCUCAUGAAGCUGGAAUCCGUAGUAAUCGCGUUUCAACAGAACGCGGUGAAUACGCCCUGCUCCUU
rnacentral:rRNA from 1 species